AUGGGGGAAACCUGAUCCAGCAUGCCGCGUGAGUGAAGAAGGCCUUCGGGUUGUAAAGCUCUUUUGUCAGGGAAGAAACAGCAGCUCUAAUACAGUUUGCGAAUGACGGUACCUGAAGAAUAAGCACCGGCUAACUACGUGCCAGCAGCCGCGGUAAUACGUAGGGCGCAAGCGUUAAUCGGAAUUACUGGGCGUAAAGCGUGCGCAGGCGGUUAUGUAAGACAGGCGUGAAAUCCCCGGGCUUAACCUGGGAAUUGCGCUUGUGACUGCAUAGCUAGAGUGUGUCAGAGGGGGGUAGAAUUCCACGUGUAGCAGUGAAAUGCGUAGAUAUGUGGAGGAAUACCAAUGGCGAAGGCAGCCCCCUGGGAUAACACUGACGCUCAUGCACGAAAGCGUGGGGAGCAAACAGGAUUAGAUACCCUGGUAGUCCACGCCCUAAACGAUGCUGACUAGUUGUUCGGGAAUUUAUUCCUGAGUAACGUAGCUAACGCGUGAAGUCAGCCGCCUGGGGAGUACGGUCGCAAGAUUAAAACUCAAAGGAAUUGACGGGGACCCGCACAAGCGGUGGAUGAUGUGGAUUAAUUCGAUGCAACGCGAAAAAACUUACUAACCUUGACAUGCCACUA
rnacentral:rRNA from 1 species